AGCAGUAGCCGCGGGAAUACGAAGGUCCCAAGCGUUGUUCGGAAUCACUGGGCGUAAAGGGAGCGUAGGCGGCGUGGUAAGUCAGAUGUGAAAUCCCGGGGCUCAACCCCGGAACUGCAUCCGAUACUGCCAUGCUUGAGGGUUGGAGAGGUAGCUGGAAUUCUUGGUGUAGCAGUGAAAUGCGUGGAUAUCAAGAGGAACACUCGUGGCGAAGGCGAGCUACUGGACAACAUCUGACGCUGAGGCUCGAAGGCCAGGGUAGCGAAAGGGAUUAGAUACCCCCGUAGUCCCUGUCUCUUAUAC
rnacentral:rRNA from 1 species